AUAGGUCACAACAGAGAUAUGAGCCUCAGCAGCUGCCCCGGGGCUGAGAGCAGUGCUCCCCAGUUUCAGGAAGAAAUCCACUCCUCAUCCUUGCCACAGGCUAUCCAGUUCUCCAGUUCCUCGUUUAGGUCAACUCCAUGAAACUGAACCCAUAUCCAAGGCUGUUUGGAUGACCAAGAACCUGAGACUAGAUAACCCAGGGACCUAAGUUUUAAAGAAGAGAGAAAAACACAGAGGAUAAGGUGGAGAAGAUCUAGGAGAAGCUGGGAGACAGGAAAAACACGAUCAAAAUAUAUUGUAUUUUUUAAUUAAUAAAAAAGAAUUCCUUUAGCACAGCUGCUGGGCCGCAAAGGCAGAGUAAAUGUUUCCUCUGGCCAACGCAGGUUAAGUGCAAUUCUCACCCCUCAUCAAGAAAAAUUCUCUUUGCAACAAAUGGAGACAGGAACAGAAAACCACAAAGUAGAUCAAAAUGUGAAAUUACAGCGUCUAGUCCCAGCUCACACAUCUCCUCAACUCCUGCACCCAAGACUCAGUGACCACUUCAGAAGAGGAAGUGGAAAGACUACAUUUUCUGUGAGAAUGUGUUUCCUAGAAACAGAGGCACUCCACCCAUGAAAUCUAACCAACACGGUCGUCUUCACAUGCUCUCAGCAAGGAUGUCAAUGGGAAAAAGCUUACCAGGCCUCAGCUCUAGACCAAGACAGGCAACUCAGAAAUGCUGAGAGAGGAUAAAUGGUCUUCCCCAAGGAAGAACACACCAACUCCUUUCUCAAUACGAAGCGAUCAACCUUGAACAAUACAUACAAGUAACAUAUGGUUUUAUUUAUAUAUUUAGAAAUGACUAUAUAUGUAUGCAUAUACACUCACAUAUGUAACAGCAAUUAAAGAAGAAUUUGAGAGAAAGAAAGAGGUGGUGCAUAGGAGAGGUUGGAAAGUGGAAAGGGAAAGAAGUAAAUGAUGCAGUUAUUUUAUACUCUCAAAAAUAAAAAAAUUAUAAUAAAAAACACAUUAAAAUGAAAAAUAUGGUGAGUUACUUAAAUGCCAACUUCUUGGCUGCCUUGGAGAAUUCCGUGAACAGAAACAUGAUAAAAAGCCUGGGAAAACUCUCAUUAAGUGUUUAUCACUUGCUUUAGAAGAAAUGCAAAGAAAAACUUUUUACCAAAAAUACUG